rnacentral:tRNA from 1 species
GCGCUGGUAGUUUAGUGGUUAGAAUGCCUCGUUGCCAACGAGGUGACCCGGGUUCGAGUCCCGGCCAGCGCA